rnacentral:rRNA from 1 species
AGACGACGCUGGCGGCGUGCCUAACACAUGCAAGUCGAACGGGGGUAGAGAGCUUCGGUUUUCUACUUAGUGGCGAACGGGUGAGUAACGCGUGAGGAACCUGCCUUUCAGAGGGGGACAACAGUUGGAAACGACUGCUAAUACCGCAUAACGUGUCGAGGGGGCAUCCCCUUGACACCAAAGAUUUAUCGCUGAAAGAUGGCCUCGCGUCUGAUUAGAUAGUUGGUGAGGUAACGGCUCACCAAGUCUGCGAUCAGUAGCCGGACUGAGAGGUUGAACGGCCACAUUGGGACUGAGAUACGGCCCAGACUCCUACGGGAGGCAGCAGUGGGGAAUAUUGGGCAAUGGGCGCAAGCCUGACCCAGCAACGCCGCGUGAAGGAAGAAGGCUUUCGGGUUGUAAACUUCUUUUACCAGGGACGAAGACGUGACGGUACCUGGAGAAAAAGCCACGGCUAACUACGUG